rnacentral:tRNA from 1 species
UGUUCUGUGGCGAAAUUGGUCAACGCACCCCGUCAAGCGAUUUGGAGAGCCGUGAGUUCAAAUCCCACCAGAAUUA